rnacentral:rRNA from 1 species
AGAGUUUGAUCCUGGCUCAGGACGAACGCUGGCGGCGUGCCUAAUACAUGCAAGUCGUACGCUUCUUUUUCCACCGGAGCUUGCUCCACCGGAAAAAGAAGAGUGGCGAACGGGUGAGUAACACGUGGGUAACCUGCCCAUCAGAAGGGGAUAACACUUGGAAACAGGUGCUAAUACCGUAUAACAAUCGAAACCGCAUGGUUUUGAUUUGAAAGGCGCUUUCGGGUGUCGCUGAUGGAUGGACCCGCGGUGCAUUAGCUAGUUGGUGAGGUAACGGCUCACCAAGGCUACGAUGCAUAGCCGACCUGAGAGGGUGAUCGGCCACAUUGGGACUGAGACACGGCCCAAACUCCUACGGGAGGCAGCAGUAGGGAAUCUUCGGCAAUGGACGAAAGUCUGACCGAGCAACGCCGCGUGAGUGAAGAAGGUUUUCGGAUCGUAAAACUCUGUUGUUAGAGAAGAACAAGGAUGAGAGUAACUGUUCAUCCCUUGACGGUAUCUAACCAGAAAGCCACGGCUAACUACGUGCCAGCAGCCGCGGUAAUACGUAGGUGGCAAGCGUUGUCCGGAUUUAUUGGGCGUAAAGCGAGCGCAGGCGGUUUCUUAAGUCUGAUGUGAAAGCCCCCGGCUCAACCGGGGAGGGUCAUUGGAAACUGGGAGACUUGAGUGCAGAAGAGGAGAGUGGAAUUCCAUGUGUAGCGGUGAAAUGCGUAGAUAUAUGGAGGAACACCAGUGGCGAAGGCGGCUCUCUGGUCUGUAACUGACGCUGAGGCUCGAAAGCGUGGGGAGCAAACAGGAUUAGAUACCCUGGUAGUCCACGCCGUAAACGAUGAGUGCUAAGUGUUGGAGGGUUUCCGCCCUUCAGUGCUGCAGCUAACGCAUUAAGCACUCCGCCUGGGGAGUACGACCGCAAGGUUGAAACUCAAAGGAAUUGACGGGGGCCCGCACAAGCGGUGGAGCAUGUGGUUUAAUUCGAAGCAACGCGAAGAACCUUACCAGGUCUUGACAUCCUUUGACCACUCUAGAGAUAGAGCUUCCCCUUCGGGGGCAAAGUGACAGGUGGUGCAUGGUUGUCGUCAGCUCGUGUCGUGAGAUGUUGGGUUAAGUCCCGCAACGAGCGCAACCCUUAUUGUUAGUUGCCAUCAUUCAGUUGGGCACUCUAGCAAGACUGCCGGUGACAAACCGGAGGAAGGUGGGGAUGACGUCAAAUCAUCAUGCCCCUUAUGACCUGGGCUACACACGUGCUACAAUGGGAAGUACAACGAGUCGCGAAGUCGCGAGGCUAAGCUAAUCUCUUAAAGCUUCUCUCAGUUCGGAUUGUAGGCUGCAACUCGCCUACAUGAAGCCGGAAUCGCUAGUAAUCGCGGAUCAGCACGCCGCGGUGAAUACGUUCCCGGGCCUUGUACACACCGCCCGUCACACCACGAGAGUUUGUAACACCCGAAGUCGGUGAGGUAACCUUUUGGAGCCAGCCGCCUAAGGUGGGAUAGAUGAUUGGGGUGAAGUCGUAACAAGGUAGCCGUAUCGGAAGGUGCGGCUG